rnacentral:miRNA from 14 species
AUAUAUGUAUAUGUAUAAAUGUAUGUAUGUGUGUGUGUGUGUAUAUAUAUAUACACACACACACACACAUAUAAAACAUAUAUAC